UUAAGUUUUUAAUUUCGUAUUAUAUACUAAUUAUUGACUUGUUGGGUUGAUUUUGUGUUUAAUUGAGUUGUUUAUGUUAUUUAAUCUAGUCAAUUAGUGUGUAUGCUCUUUGAAAUUGUUGAUUUGCUAUUAAAUUUAUCAAAUUAGAGAGUUAGGGUUUCUGAUUUUUUUAGGAAUUGAUAAUAUUGAAUUGCUGAUUUUUAUUUCUUUGAAAUUGAUAUUAUGAAUUGGCAAUGGGCUAGUAAAAUUAAUGAUUUCAUAUUUUAUCUAUGAAAUUAGGGGAGUUAAGAUUUAAGAACUUAGGGUUUUUGAUUUUUGUUUUGGAAUUGAUUAGUUUGGAUAAUUGCUUUUCUGAUUUUUUGAAAUUGAUAUUAGUAGUGGUCAAUUGGAUAUAGUGAUUAGUGAUUUUGAAUAAUUGCCUUGAAUCUGUAUAUGUUCAGUGCUAAGCUCACUAUUAGUGUUUUAGCUAUACUUUAUUAGCAGUCGGUGGUGACCCCAGCACCCGAAAAUUCCCGGAUCUGCCACCCUUUCCCUGAUAUUGAUGGUAAUUGUUUCUGAUGAUGAAUUAUUGAAAGUUUUAGGAGCUAAAUUAAGUAAUUUACUUGAAGUAUAUGAUGCUUUGUUUUGACUUUUGAGCUGUAUAUGGUUCAUAGUCACUUCAAUUGAAUAAAAAAGUACACUUGCUUUGAAUGAAUCUUUGGUGUGAGUUGCUUGGUGUGAGUACAUUAUUAGAUGAACAAAUAAUGUAGCUGUUUUAUUUUCAAUCUUGCUUUUCUUCCCGCGUUGGAGUCUAACUAUAUAGUUAUUUGUGAAUUCAAAUACUUAAUCUAGUUGAAUUUUUUUGUUCAUUUUCUUGUAUUCUUUUGACCCCAACAUAUUGAUGAUUAUGCAGUUAAUUUAUUCAUUUCUUGAUAUGGAUUUGGAUCUCAAGCAGUAUGCUGACAAGUAUAACAAUGUUUCGAUAGAGGAGAUUCAGAAAAUUAGAGCUGAGAAUUAUAGUAAUGUGUGGUUUGAUGCAACAAUCAGAUCUCUUCAUGAGAGGAGGGAGUGGGAAAAGUUUUUUGGCAGACGUGCUCUCCGCACACAGCCCCUUGCUCAUAUAUUGUCAGUAGCUUUCAAAUCAAAAGAUAGAAGUAGGGAUAAGCCGCAUGCUAUGUAUGGUUACAUCUAUGUUGAGUAUUUUGAUUCGAAAAAUAAUGUGGUGUCUGAGUUGUAUAAAAGAGAGAGGAGUGAAGCUGAGAUUUUAGGAAGUGACGGGUUGUUGACAUUAAAUGGUCCUGAUUACUCAUUUUGGCCAAAUUAUGCAUGUAUGCCAUUGAUAAAAAAUAAAAUAACUCUGAAGUUAUUUGAUGAGACCGGCAACAUAAUUGCAAGAUCUUUCUUUUUGGAUGAAACAAAUAUUGAAGAUGAUUAUGAACAAGUUAAGUUUAUGUCCAUUGAUUGCGAGUAAGGGUCUAUUAUUUUUAAGUACAUUUGUAUUCCAUUUGGAGUUCAUUGUAGAAUAGAAAUUAAAGUUUGUAGUAGACAAGGUAAACAACAUGAUGGUUUGAAUGUGAAUGGAAGGAUUAUUGCUCGUUAUGCCAAUACAUAUGGGAAUUAUUCUUCUGAAGAUUGUGUUUUGUUUGAUAAGCAUGACUCCCCUGUUGAGAUCAACACUGCCAAACGGUUUCCACUUUCUAGAUGUUGGGUGUCAUUACCAGCUUAUUCUUCUCUUGUUGUGGACCUUAAUUUGUAUGAAUUUAAAACAAUGCGAAAUAUUGUUGAUCAAUCAGUGGAGUUGUCGGCUGAAGAUGGGAGAAUGACAUCAAGUUCCAUCUUGCUGGAUGAUUUAGCUAUUCAUGUUCAUGUCGCAUGGUUCUCGCCUGAUGUGGUUGGACAACGGAUUGACUCUAAGAUUGGAUUCCCAUCUAGCUUUGAACUCUCGUGGAAUCUUCGUGCUCAUUAGAGUAAGCCAUGGGCAUCUCCUGCCUUGGAGAUUUUCUCUGUCUUUUUUGGUGGAAGAAGGCAAAAGACUGUGCAAAUUUUUGGUUCAAUUGAGGUUUUAUCGGAUGAUGAUGACGGGAUUUGUUAUAUCUUUAACAGAGAUAAAAAAGAUGCCUUGAUAUUAUCUGAAAAUGAGAAAUCAUUACCUGUAUCAGAUGGUUCCAGAGUUUUUGAUGAUUGUAGUUCAUUACAAAUGAAGUUUAGCAUAAAGGAUACUGAAGACCGUUUAGCUAUUCGAGGCUUAGUGGAUUGGGCAGGUUCUGUACUUGACACUUCUUUGUGGUAUGAAAAGCAAUUGUGUUCUCUUAUUCCGGGUCAACAGGGAGGAUUUGCAGCAAUACACUAUUCAAUCUUCCAGAAGCUGUUGGUGCAAACAUUAAGGUGUUUCUAAAUCCUAAAACAGGAUGUGGUGAUGUUUGUCCUAAGAUUUGGGGUAGCCUUAUUGCUCAAUAUAGUUGCUAUGACUAUACAUCGCGCUUUAACAAAGACUACUACCGGAUUGUGUUAUUCGAGAAGAUUCAGGAUGAUCUAAUUCAAGUAAGUGAUGAUUCGAGAAUACCACUUUCAAGAUCUAUGAUUGUUGUUCCAUCAUAUGCCUCUCUUAUUGUCAACGUAGAUAUAUUAUUUGGCAAAUCUGAUGAAAACUUUUCAUGUGCUACAAAAAUUGAAAUUGGUGAAGGUUUCAAGAUUGUAGAGACAAAUAGUUAUCUUCUUCGUAUUGAGGUCGAUUGGUGUGAGAUUAAAUGAUAUUUAUUGUAUUAUUUAGGAACUCUUUUGGUCAUUAAUCUUAGAGUAGAGAUUUGGCUAGUGAUGUUAUGUUAAUGUAUUACUUAGGAACUUUUUGGUCUUUUGCCUUACUCUUCGUAGAGUAAAGGUUUCCCAAGUGAUAUUAUAUUAUUGUUCAGUAUUAUCUAGGAACUCUUGUGGCGUUUGCCUUACUCUUA